UCCCCUUGUUCAGAGCAGUAGGCAGUUUCUCUUCAGACUUGAUACAGGUAAGAAGCACCUGCACUCAUUUAGUUUUCUCUGCAAACAAUUGCUCUCGUUCUAUUUUCACUGUUCUUAUUUUCUGUUUUCAGACGUCAGCUCCAGUGUUCACUGCAGGCUAUAAAGAUCAUUGCUAUUAUUGCUUAUUUGAUUAAUUCUCUCCUCAUCUGAGUCUCAGCCUUGUUCUUGCAAAAUAUCUGCAACAAUGGCACAAUUUGGCCAUCUGGUGGCAGUGUUGAGCCUGUGCCUGCUGGCUGCACUGGUGAAUUCUCAACAGAACACCCCCCCACAUCCUCCUCCUAUAGGACAUGAGAUCUGCACACACUACACUCAGGGUGGGACCCUCCUUCUGGAUGGGCCUAAGGUCUUUGAAAUGAUGCUGAUCGAGUUUGGACGGGCAAUCCAGACCCUGAACCCUAUGGUGACUCAACAGUGGAUGGACGAAGUAGAUGCUGAUCACGACAAACGCCUGAACAUGGCGGAGUGUGCCAGUCUCGUCCAGAGAGUCUCUGACUCCGUUCAGAGGCCUCCGCAAUAAAGAAGCCACAUCUACUGAUUAAAGUAACUUGUACUUGUGUACGGAAGUAUAUGAAGAAAAAUAAGACUUCACAAACACUUAUUUAGUAUGUAGGUCUGUAACUUAAUCUCAUGUAAUAAACACUGUAAGGCAUCACUCAAAUUCUAAAUAAUGUAUUGUUUUAUUAAUUACUUUAAAACAUGGAAUUAAAGAAUCUUAGUCAAAAAUGAAAAAAUAAAAUUUGGUCAAAAACAC
rnacentral:lncRNA from 1 species